rnacentral:lncRNA from 1 species
CGUUUAAUGGUUGUGCUGCUAAAUCCAAGUAGGAUGGUUUUCAUCAAACCAUACUGACCACCAUUAAAUAAUUUGUAGAACAUACAUCUUUCACCUGUGAAACUUUGACCAUUCACUUAUUUAUAAAUAUUUUUGUAGUUCUUGACUUUGAAAGUAAUGUUCCUUUGCUUCUAACUCUCUCUCUUUUGGCAGUCUUCGAUGGCUUGGUGAGGACCACAUGGUUCAGGCUCCCCUUGUAGAGGGGGUUUCAACUCAUAUAUACAUAUCACAAACUGAACCGAGGGGUAGACCGGAUCACCAACCCCGCCUACCAACAGGAGAAUCCAUGAGCUUCGGUAAUCAUGUAUCUGUGAGUAUAGACCAGAUUUUGGCUCCCAAUAUCUCUGUGCACGGACGCUAUAACCCUGGCUACCUUAACCAAUAAAUUGAUAGACGGAAUUAGGG